GUCGUCGACGUCGUCGCUGGCCAAAAGAGGCCAUAAAACAAGCAUCCGCAAAGUGUUCCACUUUGUUGAUCUACGGAUCGAUGAGGAGGGGGUAUCAUCAACUAGCUGGCGCUGCGGCAUCUGGCUAAACGAUUUAUUAACUUCAUUUCUAGAUCAUUAGAUCGCAUAACACGGACAUUCAUCACUUGUGUUUGCAACUUUUUGUUGCACAUUUCCAGAACGUGAGCAAAACACGCAAGCAUGCAACAACAACAGCAACAACAACAACAACAACGAGUAGCAGCCGUCUCUAGGCUGCAGCUACGCAUGCAAUUCAUGCCACAUGCAGCUGCAGCUUGGCGAUCGCGCCAUCGAUAAGCACAAUCAACGCUUGGCGCAAACACUUGCCACAUGUUGCCUGCUGUGCCCUACUACAAACACGCCCACUUUUUUGUUUGGCCUGGAAGCUGUUGCCUUUUGUGGAAUGCGUUCAGCGACCAAGCAGAAGAGCAGAUGCCCAGUUGCAGAUAAAGCAAACGCACUCUGUCUCAGUCCCUGGGAUGAUGUCCACAUGCCUUGCUUGGGCUUUUGGGUUUGUGUGGGGCGUUGUUGCCUUUAUCAGCGCCUGGCGAUCAACGAUCUGAGCAUCAACAUCGGACUCCACUUGCCUCUGCUGCAGAUGCUUAUCAAAAUGUGCCUCGCGUGAUAAAAAAGAAAAAAAAGUUCGCAUGAAACGCGCUCCACACUUGAAAAUGGAAAUGGGUGUUAACGCAGCAACUUUUCAGCUGUCCCCGCGGCUUGCGUGUAAGAAUUUUCUGCGAAUUCGCUGAGAUUUUAAUCGGUUAGAUGUCUGGAGCUUGAGCUGGUGCUGGAGCUGGACCUGCAUUCGAAGAACGGCGCUGGUCGUGGCCGUGGCCGACACUUUCGCUGUAAAUUAAAUGCUCAUUUUCCGAAUGCGGCCGGGCCAACAUUUUCCAGUCACGUCGUUUCACAGUUAGCAGCUUUAUUAAAACUAACGGCAAGCCAAAUAAUUAAAACGCAGCGCAGCAAAAAAUAAAAAAGAGGAAUUGCAAAUUGCGGGCCAUGUAAUAAAUAGAAUCAUCAGCUUGGCAGUCAGCCAGCCAGUCAGUGCAGCGCGGUCAGCCAGCCAGACAGUUAAAAGUCAGGGUCUGGGUCUGUGGCUGUCUUACCGCCAUCAUGAUCAUCAUCAUCUUCACUAACAACAUCAUAAUUAACAUCAUAAUCAACAUCAUCAGCAGCAGUAGCCGAAGUAGCAGCAGCAUCAUCAUUUUUAAACCUCUUUUGGAGGGUAUUUGCCUCGCGAGAUGUGUAGCUCAUAGGAGACCUCUUCGGCCCCAAAAACCCAUUGAGCUUUAUGGCCAGCCGCUGGGCAGCUGCCUCCGCCUCACUGGGUCCAGCUGUCACUCGCUGAGCUGAUGGUGACAUCGAUAAUGUGUACUCUGAGGUCAAGCGCCGCUUGGAUUAUCAGCUGGAAUGCCGUCACGUUGAGCGUCGUCUCAGCCAGAAGCACAUGCUCAACUGGAUUGUGGCUAAUGUGCUGUCCAGCAUCUCGCCCCACCAGAAGAAGGAGACGCUAAACAAGUGCACUGGCGAUUUGACUGCCGUGGUUCUGCGACUCGAGUUAUACUUUGUCAAAUUGAAAAUUACACACAAAAUGCGAGACGCAGCCAACAAUCGGAAAUGUACCACAAUAUGUUUAAAUUAAUACAUCUGUC